rnacentral:misc_RNA from 1 species
GAUGAAGAACGUAGCGAAACGCGAUAGGUAAUGUGAAUUGCAGAAUUCCGUGAAUCAUCGAAUCUUUGAACGCACAUUGCGCCCCCUGGUAUUCCGGGGGGCAUGCCUGUCCGAGCGUCAUUGCUGCCCUCAAGCACGGCUUGUGUGUUGGGCUUCCGUCCCUGGCAACGGGGACGGGCCCAAAAGGCAGUGGCGGCACCAUGUCUGGUCCUCGAGCGUAUGGGGCUUUGUCACCCGCUCCCGUAGGUCCAGCUGGCAGCUAGCCUCGCAACCAAUCUUUUUAACCAGGUUGACCUCGGAUCAGGUAGGGAUACCCGCUGAACUUAAGCAUAUCAAUAAGCGGAGGA